rnacentral:rRNA from 1 species
AAACCGUCAUCCCUCACGCGGCGUUGCUGGGUCAGGGUUUCCCCCAUUGCCCAAUAUCCCUCACUGCUGCCUCCCGUAGGAGUCUGGGCCGUGUCUCAGUCCCAAUGUGGCCGAUCAACCUCUCAGUCCGGCUACCGAUCGUCAACUUGGUGGGCCGUUACCCCGCCAACUAUCUAAUCGGACGCGAGUCCAUCUUUCAGCGGAUUGCUCCUUUGAUUGCUGCUCCAUGCGAAGCUACAAUCUUAUGCGGUAUUAGCGUUCUUUUCAGAACGUUAUCCCCCUCUGAAAGGCAGGUUACUCACGCGUUACUCACCCGUCCGCCACUGAGUUGAAAAAAGCAAGCUCCUUUCAACUCCGUUCGACUUGCAUGUGUUAGGCACGCCGCCAGCGUUCGUCCUGAGCCAUGAUCAAACUCUGUAGAGGACCAACCGCUCACUAAAUGGAUGAGUCUGGGUGGAGAGAUCGGAAGGAACACCAGUGGCGAAGGCGGCCUACUGGGCUUUAACUGACGCUGAGGCACGAAAGUGUGGGUAGCAAACAGGAUUAGAUACCCUGGUAGUCCACACUGUAAACGAUGAUUACUAGGUGUGGGGGGUCUAACCCCCUCCGUGCCGGAGUUAACACAAUAAGUAAUCCACCUGGGGAGUACGACCGCAAGGUUGAAACUCAAAGGAAUUGACGGGGGCCCGCACAAGCAGUGGAGUAUGUGGUUUAAUUCGACGCAACGCGAAGAACCUUACCAGGUCUUGACAUCCAACUAACGAAGCAGAGAUGCAUUAGGUGCCCUUCGGGGAAAGUUGAGACAGGUGGUGCAUGGUUGUCGUCAGCUCGUGUCGUGAGAUGUUGGGUUAAGUCCCGCAACGAGCGCAACCCUUGUGAUUAGUUGCUACGCAAGAGCACUCUAAUCAGACUGCCGUUGACAAAACGGAGGAAGGUGGGGACGACGUCAAAUCAUCAUGCCCUUUAUGACCUGGGCUACACACGUACUACAAUGGUCGUUAACAGAGGGAGGCAAUACCGCGAGGUGGAGCAAAACCCUAAAAACGGUCUCAGUUCAGAUUGUAGGCUGCAACUCGCCUACAUGAAGUUGGAAUUGCUAGUAAUCGCGGAUCAGCAUGCCGCGGUGAAUACGUUCCCGGGCCUUGUACACACCGCCCGUCACACCAUGGGAGCCGGUAAUACCCGAAGUCAGUAGUUUAACCGUAAGGAGAACGCUGCCGAAGGUAGGAUUGGCGACUGGGGUGAAGUCGUAACAAGGUA